AUUGAACGCUGGCGGCAUGCUUUACACAUGCAAGUCGAACGGGCUUAGGUGCUUGCACCUAAGUUAGUGGCGAACGGAUGAGUAAUGCAUCGGAACGUACCGUGUAGUGGGGGAUAACCCGGCGAAAGUCGGAUUAAUACCGCAUACGAUCUAAGGAUGAAAGCAGGGGAUCGCAAGACCUUGCGCUAUACGAGCGGCCGAUGUCGGAUUAGCUCGUUGGUAGGGUAAAGGCCUACCAAGGCAACGAUCCGUAGCGGGUCUGAGAGGAUGAUCCGCCACACUGGGACUGAGACACGGCCCAGACUCCUACGGGAGGCAGCAGUGGGGAAUUUUGGACAAUGGGCGAAAGCCUGAUCCAGCCAUGCCGCGUGAGUGAAGAAGGCCUUCGGGUUGUAAAGCUCUUUUGUCCGGGAGCAAAUCCUGUUCACUAAUACUGAGCGGGGCUGAGAGUACCGGAAGAAUAAGCACCGGCUAACUACGUGCCAGCCGCCGCGGUAAUAC
rnacentral:rRNA from 1 species